rnacentral:rRNA from 1 species
UACAGAGGGUGCAAGCGUUACUCGGAAUUACUGGGCGUAAAGCGCACGUAGGUGGCUGGGUAAGUUGGAUGUGAAAUCCCCGGGCUUAACUUGGGAAUUGCAUUCAAGACUGCCUUGCUAGAGUGUGGAAGAGGGAAGCGGAAUUCCAGGUGUAGCGGUGAAAUGCGUAGAUAUCUGGAGGAACAUCAGUGGCGAAGGCGGCUUCCUGGUCCAACACUGACACUGAGGUGCGAAAGCGUGGGGAGCAAACAGG